rnacentral:rRNA from 1 species
UGGGGGAUAUUGCACAAUGGGCGAAAGCCUGAUGCAGCGACGCCGCGUGGGGGAUGAAGGCCUUCGGGUUGUAAACUUCUUUUGCUCUGAACAAGGCGCACCAUGGGGUGUGUUGAGUGUAGGGGUUGAUUAGCGCCGGCUAACUACGUGCCAGCAGCCGCGGUAAUACGUAGGGCGCGAGCGUUGUCCGGAAUUAUUGGGCGUAAAGGGCUUGUAGGUGGCUGGUUGCGUCUGUCGUGAAAGCUCAUGGCUUAACUGUGGGUUUGCGGUGGGUACGGGCUGGCUUGAGUGCAGUAGGGGAGGCUGGAAUUCCUGGUGUAGCGGUGGAAUGCGCAGAUAUCAGGAGGAAUACCGGUGGCGAAGGCGGGUCUCUGGGCUGUUACUGACACUGAGGAGCGAAAGCAUGGGGAGCUAACAGG